GGGCACUUACUGACGCUGAGGAGCGAAAGCGUGGGGAGCGAACAGGAUUAGAUACCCUGGUAGUCCACGCCGUAAACGUUGGGCGCUAGAUGUGGGGACCUUUCCACGGUUUCCGUGUCGUAGCUAACGCAUUAAGCGCCCCGCCUGGGGAGUACGGCCGCAAGGCUAAAACUCAAAGGAAUUGACGGGGGCCCGCACAAGCGGCGGAGCAUGCGGAUUAAUUCGAUGCAACGCGAAGAACCUUACCAAGGCUUGACAUAUACGAGAACGGGCCAGAAAUGGUCAACUCUUUGGACACUCGUAUACAGGUGGUGCAUGGUUGUCGUCAGCUCGUGUCGUGAGAUGUUGGGUUAAGUCCCGCAACGAGCGCAACCCUCGUCGCAUGUUGCCAGCACGUUAUGGUGGGGACUCAUGUGAGACUGCCGGGGUCAACUCGGAGGAAGGUGGGGAUGACGUCAAAUCAUCAUGCCCCUUAUGUCUUGGGCUUCACGCAUGCUACAAUGGCCGGUACAAAGGGCUGCGAUGUCGUAAGGCGGAGCGAAUCCCAAAAAGCCGGUCUCAGUUCGGAUUGAGGUCUGCAACUCGACCUCAUGAAGUCGGAGUCGCUAGUAAUCGCAGAUCAGCAACGCUGCGGUGAAUACGUUCCCGGGCCUUGUACACACCGCCCGUCAAGUCAUGAAAGUCGGUAACACCCGAAGCCGGUGGCCUAACCCUUGUGGAGGGAGCCGUCGAAGGUGGGAUCGGUGAUUAGGACUAAGUC
rnacentral:rRNA from 1 species